CCCUUUGUCUGCUAGCUGAGGAAGCUGAACUCUUCCUCUUGUUUCCCUGUAACUGCUCAAGUAACAGCCAUUCUCUUCUCCCUGGUUUGCAUAUUCAGUCUUGCUUAAAGGUAGAGGCCAGGAGUGGAUGGACCUGGAGUUCUGUGUGCUUGAGCUUGGUCUGGAUGGCCCACUGCUGCUCUUGGACUACCAAGGAUGCACCAAGGAAGAUCAUAAACAGGCAUCCAGGAUUUUCCUGGCAAGAAUACUGGAGUGGGUUGCCAUGCCGUCCUCCAGGGGAUCUUCCCAGUCCAGGGAUGGAACCCAUGACUCCUGUGCAGGCAGAUUCUUUACCACUGAUCCACUGGGUAAGCCCAUGAAUGGGUGUUAUGUUGUGUCAGAUGCUUAUUCUUCAUCUAUUGAAACUGUUAUAUGGAUUUUUGUUUUUACUUUGAACAUGGUGAAUUAUGUGUAUUGAUUUUCAAGAGUUAAAACAACCUUACAUACCUCAGAUAAACCUACUUGCUAGUAGUGUGUUACUCUUGUUAUGUAGUUCUGAAAAUAAUUUGACUUAAAAAAGAAGAGAUAUUAUUUGUGUUUUUCUUUUUUUAUCAUCUUUAUCAGGUUUGCUAUUAAGAUUAUGUUAGUCUCAUAAAAUAAGAAGUGUUUUUGCCUUUUUAAUUUAUGAUAAAGUUAGUAUGAGAUUUGUGUUAUAUUUUCCCUAAAUGUGUG
ensembl:lncRNA